rnacentral:tRNA from 1 species
GCCGCGAUCGUCCAGUGGUUAGGAUGAAAGCCUGUGGAGCUUUUGACACGAGUUCGAAUCUCGUUCGCGGCCCCA